rnacentral:rRNA from 1 species
GACGAACGCUGGCGGCGUGCUUAACACAUGCAAGUCGAACGGAAAGACCCUGCUUUUGUGGGGUGCUCGAGUGGCGAACGGGUGAGUAACACGUGAGUAACCUGCCCUUGACUUUGGGAUAACUUCAGGAAACUGGGGCUAAUACCGGAUAGGAGCUCCUGCUGCAUGGUGGGGGUUGGAAAGUUUCGGCGGUUGGGGAUGGACUCGCGGCUUAUCAGCUUGUUGGUGGGGUAGUGGCUUACCAAGGCUUUGACGGGUAGCCGGCCUGAGAGGGUGACCGGCCACAUUGGGACUGAGAUACGGCCCAGACUCCUACGGGAGGCAGCAGUGGGGAAUAUUGCACAAUGGGCGGAAGCCUGAAGCAGCAACGCCGCGUGCGGGAUGACGGCCUUCGGGUUGUAAACCGCUUUCGCCUGUGACGAAGCGUGAGUGACGGUAAUGGGUAAAGAAGCACCGGCUAACUACGUG